CCCAGACUCCUACGGGAGGCAGCAGUGGGGAAUAUUGCACAAUGGGGGAAACCCUGAUGCAGCGACGCCGCGUGAGUGAAGAAGUAUUUCGGUAUGUAAAGCUCUAUCAGCAGGGAAGAAAAUGACGGUACCUGACUAAGAAGCCCCGGCUAACUACGUGCCAGCAGCCGCGGUAAUACGUAGGGGGCAAGCGUUAUCCGGAUUUACUGGGUGUAAAGGGAGCGUAGACGGCCAUGCAAGCCAGGGGUGAAAGCCCGGGGCCCAACCCCGGGACUGCUCUUGGAACUGCGCGGCUGGAGUGCAGGAGGGGCAGGCGGAAUUCCUGGUGUAGCGGUGAAAUGCGUAGAUAUUAGGAGGAACACCAGUGGCGAAGGCGGCCUGCUGGACGAUGACUGACGUUGAGGCUCGAAAGCGUGGGGAGCAAACAGGAUUAGAUACCCUAGUA
rnacentral:rRNA from 1 species